UUGGCAUGAUGAGGAAAGAAAUACAAGUCUGAUCUGCUAGAUGAGAAAUUCCUCCUACUCAUUCUGA
rfam:Zea mays cultivar B73 chromosome 7, whole genome shotgun sequence.